GCCAAAUGAUGAAGAAGUGAUGGCAUAGCAUGCUGUGCAAAGAUGACUUUCAUCUAUCACCCAGUACUGAUGGCU